CUUGACUGUAGCCUGGAAUUGGGUUCGGGCUUUUCUUGUGCAGCCUAGGUGGGAGGCUAUGAAGAUUUCCUUCCGGGGAAGUUGGAGCCAACAGUGAGAGACCACUCUGGGGAGGCUAGAAUCCUAAUGGUGAUCCUUGAAUCAGGACACUUGACAGUUUCAGGUGGGCAGUUUUUCUGGGGCGGAAGCCUCAUAAAAGGUAACUGAGGCGCGCAAAGGUCCCCUCAGUCUGGACGGAAAUCAGACAUUGAGUGUAAAGGCAAAAGGGGGCUUGACUGCAAGACCCACAAGUCGAGCAGGAGCGAAAGCUGGCCUUAGUGAUCCGACGGUUCCGUGUGGAAGGGCCGUCGCUCAACGAAUAAAAGUUA
rnacentral:rRNA from 1 species